ACCUGGGUGGCUCAGUCGGUUAAGCGUCUGACUUCAGCUCAGGUCAUGAUCUCACAGUUCAUGAGUUCGAGCCCCAUGUCAGGUU
rnacentral:tRNA from 1 species